GCAGCACGUGAUCGUUAACGCCGCCGGCGGAGAGUCACGUGACCGGUGUCCGCUUCAUUGCGAGAGGUACGCAGCGGAAAGCAUGUUAUUUGAGAAUAUCUUGAACGUUGGGAUCUCAAAGCAAGUUCUGACUGUCAGGGGGAUCUGAAUAUCAUUGGCAUUUACUGGUGGAAGGAUAAAAGGUUGACUUGCAUUUAGAGACUUCAAAUGGAAACACGUCCAGAUCUAAACAGUCAUUCCACUUCUCAUAACCUAAUUAGCGCAGAAUUUUCAGCAUUAGAGGAAGAAGCAACAUUCACACAGGGGAGAAACACAUGCGGUGUGUGGAUGAUUCAGUGAACAGUCAUUUGAAAUGUCCAAACGCCAGCGCAGACAAAGUGGGAAGAGACUGUGGAAAUGUCAGGAUUGUGGGAAGGGAUUUCUUUGUCCAUCCAAGCUUGAACUUCACCAACGCAGUCACACUGGGGAGAAGCCAUUCACUUGCUCCGACUGUGGGAAGGGCUUCAGUCGGUCGUCACGCCUGCGGAUCCACCAGCGGGUGCACACUGGAGAGAGACCAUUCACCUGCCCGAUGUGCGGGAAACCAUUCGCUGAGUCAUCCAGCCUUCUGAAACACCAGCGAAUUCACACUGGAGAGAGACCGUUCACCUGCUCGGAUUGUGGGAAGGGAUUUGCCCUAUCGUCCAACCUGCGGAUCCACCAGAGACACCACACAGGGGACAGGCCGUUCACUUGCUCCACGUGUGAGAUGGGAUUCUGUCAGUUAUCAAGCCUGCAGAUACACCAGCGAGUUCACACUGGCGAGAGACCAUUCACUUGCUCCCUGUGUGGGAAAGGAUUCAGUCAGUCAUGCAACCUGCUGACACACCAGCGAGGGCACAGUGGGGAGAGGCCAUUCACCUGUUCUGAAUGUGGAAAAGGAUUCAUUCGCUCGUCUGAACUACUGAAACACCAGCGCAUUCAUACCGGAGAGAAACCAUUCACAUGCUCUGAUUGUGGGAAGGGAUUUACCCAGUCGUCCAACCUGCAGAGACACCAGCGCGUUCACACUGGGGAGAGACCAUUCACCUGCUCAGUGUGCGGGAAACCAUUCGCCGACUCAUCCACCCUUCUGAAACACCAGCGAAUUCACACUGGAGAGAGACCGUUCACCUGCUCGGAUUGUGGGAAGGGAUUUGUCCUGUCGUCCAACCUGCGGAUCCACCAGCGAGUUCACACUGGGGAGAGACCGUUCACUUGCUCCACGUGUGGGAUGGGAUUCGGUCAGUUAUCCAGCCUGAAGAUACACCAGCGAGUUCACACUGGUGAGAGACCAUUCACUUGCUCCCUGUGUGGGAAAGGAUUCAGUCAGUCAUGCAACCUGCUGACACACCAGCGAGGGCACAGUGGGGAGAGGCCAUUCACCUGUUCUGAAUGUGGAAAAGGAUUCAUUCGCUCGUCUGAACUACUGGAACACCAGCGCAUUCACACCGGAGAGAAACCAUUCACAUGCUCCAAUUGUGGGAAGGGAUUUACCCAGUCGUCCCACCUGCGGAGACACCAGCGUGUUCACACCCGGGAGAAAGAGUCACUUGGUCAAGCUACCUGCUGAUACACCAGCCUAUUCAAUCAAUGGAGAGACAGUUCACUUCUGUAUUUGGGAAAUGAUUUAAGCUGUUAACACACCAGCAAAAUGACACUAGGUUAAACUGAGAGGACUAAACCCUUACCAUCACACAUAUAUAUAUGAAAUCCCAGCAUUAAGCAAGGUCCCGAACAGCUUCUACAAUCACAAGAGCAUUUGUCAGUUUCCGGGAACUCAGUGUCACGAUAGAAAUACAGAAGCACCGCCUUGCAUGUGCGUUUACUUUACUGGCCAUUUUCUACAUGAAUAGCCCAGUAAAGUGAUGGGAAUAAAGCACUUAUCUUUGCAAAGGGCUGUGUAACUAACCCAUAUGUUUAAAAAAAAAUCCAGUCCUGAUACUUAAGGUGCUUGUGUUUCUUUGCUUUUGCCAGCAUUUUCACAUGUUCUUCAGUACAGGUAUCCAAAUUCACUUGCCUCUUUGAUGUAACGUUUUUGCGAUCGAAUAAUUGAUUAUUGGAUAAGAGGUUCCUCUGUAAUAUGUUCAGACUACAGUAAUUGAACUGUAAUUGGGUAACUGAAAUCGCAGAUAACAAUUCCAUGGAUAUGGGGGUGAACCUGCAAUUAAAUUUCUUUCCACA